rnacentral:rRNA from 1 species
GUGCAUGGCCGUUCUUAGUUCGUGGAGUGAUCUGUCUGCUUAAUUGCGUUUCAAAAUUUUGUACUGAGUGACAAGGUGCUGCUGUCGAAACUGUCUAGGCCGAGUGUGAACUGUAUGUCUUUUGAUAUGCGACCAUCACUCAUAGACGUUAUGUUUUGGUGGUAGCCCUUGGUGCUCAUUUGAACGCAACGGACGUGAUUGCAACUACCUUGUUGAGAUUGAUUGGAUCUCUACGUCUACUGAACCAAACAGUUUAGCAAUUGUUUGCGGAUGUGGAUAAACUCGGGGGACUGCUGACUAUAAACUUUCUUCAAACCAGAGGAAGGUUGCGGCAAUAACAGGUCUGUGAUGCCCUCAGAUGUUCCGGGCUGCACACGUGCUACAUUUAGUAGCGCAGUGUGCACAUUAGAAGAGUGAUAGGUUCUGCGGUUUGUAAAUUUAAGGGCUCGUCCUAGUAACCAAAGCUCCGCAGAACAUAUCAACCUUCCCUUUAGGGGGCGGGUAACCUCUUCGAAGUGCUGGCUUGAUUCCCGUAGUUUUGGCAUCUCUAUCCUUGUCGCAGCAGCCCUGAGACAUAGCGAACGCUGAAAAGUGAUUCCAGUCUUAGGUUUGCGACACAUGCAAUUCCUGGUUGACUCAUCGUGGGAACUGAUUCUUGUAAUUAUUUUUCACGGUUCAACCAGGAAUGCCUUGUACCGGCGGGUCAUUAACCCGCUGGGAAUACGUCCCUGCCCUUUGUACACACCGCCCGUCGCUCUUACCGAUGACUUUGGCUGUGAGUAGGACUGACCGGAUUGUACAAAAUUUGGGAAAUCCGUCGAACAG